GCAAGUCGAACGCUUCUUUCCUGCCGAGUGCUUGCACUCACUUGGAAAGAGGAGUGGCGGACGGGUGAGUAACACGUGGGUAACCUGCCCAUCAGAGGGGGAUAACACUUGGAAACAGGUGCUAAUACCGCAUAAUAGUCGACACCGCAUGGUGUUGAUUUGAAAGACGCUUUCGGGUGUCACUGAUGGAUGGACCCGCGGUGCAUUAGCUAGUUGGUGAGGUAACGGCUCACCAAGGCCAUGAUGCAUAGCCGACCUGAGAGGGUGAUCGGCCACACUGGGACUGAGACACGGCCCAGACUCCUACGGGAGGCAGCAGUAGGGAAUCUUCGGCAAUGGACGAAAGUCUGACCGAGCAACGCCGCGUGAGUGAAGAAGGUUUUCGGAUCGUAAAACUCUGUUGUUAGAGAAGAACAAGUAGGAGAGUAACUGCUCUUACCUUGACGGUAUCUAACCAGAAAGCCACGGCUAACUACGUGCCAGCAGCCGCGGUAAUACGUAGGUGGCAAGCGUUGUCCGGAUUUAUUGGGCGUAAAGCGAGCGCAGGCGGUUUCUUAAGUCUGAUGUGAAAGCCCCCGGCUCAACCGGG
rnacentral:rRNA from 1 species